rnacentral:lncRNA from 1 species
UUAUGCUCUUGUCUCACCAGUUUCUUCUUCAUUCUCACCAGACAUUUCCUCAAGUGAUUUCCCCUUUGAUUCCGGCACCAGAAACGUACACAAUGUCCCCAACAAGUUAAUCACACCCAACACAAUCAAUGAGUUCUUUACUCCUAUGCCCGGUGGAUACCCGUGAUCCGCCUUAGCAGGAUCUUUGUUUUGAGCCAAGUACAAGAACCCGAAAGCCCCAACUAUCGCCCCGAGUUUCCCUGACGCUGCGGAUAUCCCAUGACAAGUUGAUCUCAACCGGGCCGGGAAAAUCUCUGCUGGGACGACGAAUGUUGUUGCAUUGGGCCCGAAAUUUGCGAAGAAGAAUGUUAAAGAGUAGAAGACAACAAAACCCAUGUUGUGUUUGGGUUGGAUCCAGUAGUCGUAAGGGAAUGCUAAAACAAACAUGAAAAUUGUCAUCAUGAUGAAUCCUAUUAGUUGGAUUAACCAUGUGCUUGUUGUACCAAGUAAAUGGAGGCCGUGGCGUUUAGCGAAUUCUUUGCUUAUGAGUCCGUAGCUGAAUUUCGUAUCGGCCAUGGCUUCGUCGAGUUUGUCUUGCUCGGAUUCGAUGUCAACUUGGAGGACUUUUGACAUGUCGGAAGCAGCUUUUUUGGCGUCUUUAGCCACUAAGGCGGUGAACCUGGCGGUUUCUGGCAUCUUCAUUCUCCAGUAGUAAGUUAACAGUGCUGGAAGAGCUCCGACCAUGAGGACAAUGCGCCAUACAUAGUCGGCUUCCGGCACUGUUGACUUUACUGGAUCCACCUCGUACGGUGGAGCUUUGAAAUUGUUAUCGAAAAUCGCCGCAAUAAAAAUCGCAAACACUCCGCCUCCCAAGAUCCCGA